UCGUACAAUAGAGGUGCUAAGGUUGUCGCUGACUUUUGAAAGGGUCGUGCACACCUCAGUACUCUCAUAUAUAAUCCAUCUCACCCCCUUUGUGCAUUACCGCGUGGGGACCCUUUUUGGCUAGUUCUGAGGGGGGUUUUCAUGUUUUUAAUACAAACACCUUUUUAAUGCAAUGUGUAGAAUGUCUUACUUUUUGCGGUUAUAUGCAAUCAAAUA
rnacentral:misc_RNA from 1 species